rnacentral:tRNA from 1 species
GCAUCGGUGGUUCAGUGGUAGAAUGCUCGCCUGCCACGCGAGCAGCCUGGGUUCAAUUCCCGGCCGAUGCA